GACGAACGCUGGCGGCGUGCCUAAUACAUGCAAGUCGAACGCAUUUUCUUUCACCGUAGCUUGCUACACCGAAAGAAAAUGAGUGGCGAACGGGUGAGUAACACGUUGGUAACCUGCCCAUCAGCGGGGGAUAACACUUGGAAACAGGUGCUAAUACCGCAUAAUUCCAUUUACCGCAUGGUAAAUGGAUGAAAGGCGCUUUUGCGUCACUGAUGGAUGGACCCGCGGUGCAUUAGCUAGUGGGUGGGGUAACGGCCUACCAAGGCUGCGAUGCAUAGCCGACCUGGGAGGGUGAUCGGCCACACUGGGACUGAGACACGGCCCAGACUCCUACGGGAGGCAGCAGUAGGGAAUCUUCGGCAAUGGACGCAAGUCUGACCGAGCAACGCCGCGUGAGUGAAGAAGGUUUUCGGAUCGUAAAACUCUGUUGUUAGAGAAGAACAAGGAUGAGAGUGGAAAGUUCAUCCCUUGACGGUAUCUAACCAGAAAGCCACGGCUAACUACGUG
rnacentral:rRNA from 1 species